rnacentral:rRNA from 1 species
GACGAACGCUGGCGGCGUGCUUAACACAUGCAAGUCGAACGGAAAGGCCCUUCGGGGUACUCGAGUGGCGAACGGGUGAGUAACACGUGGGUGAUCUGCCCUGCACUUUGGGAUAAGCCUGGGAAACUGGGUCUAAUACCGAAUAGGACCACGCGCUUCAUGGUGUGUGGUGGAAAGCUUUUGCGGUGUGGGAUGGGCCCGCGGCCUAUCAGCUUGUUGGUGGGGUAAUGGCCUACCAAGGCGACGACGGGUAGCCGGCCUGAGAGGGUGACCGGCCACACUGGGACUGAGAUACGGCCCAGACUCCUACGGGAGGCAGCAGUGGGGAAUAUUGCACAAUGGGCGCAAGCCUGAUGCAGCGACGCCGCGUGAGGGAUGACGGCCUUCGGGUUGUAAACCUCUUUCACCGGGGACGAAGCGUAAGUGACGGUACCUGGAGAAGAAGCACCGGCCAACUACGUG